rnacentral:miRNA from 1 species
AGUAGAUAGUCAGGUAAACGA